CAUGUCUUUUUGAUUAUAAUUUAAAGUCUAAUCUGCUCAGUGAUUAUUUAAAUUGCCGCAGUAUUUUAACUGUGCAAAGGUAGCGUAAUAAUUUGUUUCUUAAUUGGUGACUGGAAUGAAUGAUUGGACGAGAAUAUUACUGUCUCUUUUUAAAUUAGUUUUGAAUUUUAUUUUUAAGUUAAAAUGCUUAAAUUUUUUUAAAAGACGAGAAGACCCUAUAGAGUUUAAUAAAAAUCAUUUUAUUAAUUUUUGGAAUGUUAAUUAAAAUGUUUUUAUUUAGUUGGGGCGAUUUAAAGAUAUAGUUAAUUCUUUAAAAAUAAUUAUUAAUGUUGAUUAAAUCUUAAAUCUAAUAUUUUUGAAUUUAAAAUUAAUUACCUUAGGGAUAACAGCGUUAUUUUCUUUUGAAGCUCUUAUUUGAAUGAAAGGUUGCGACCUCGAUGUUGGAUUAAAAUAAAUUUUUGGCGCANUANUUUAAGAAUUAAGUCUGUUCGACCUUUUAUAUU
rnacentral:rRNA from 1 species